rnacentral:tmRNA from 2 species
GGGGACGACAUGGCUUCGACGCCGGUAGUGAACCCUGCGGUGCAUGCCGAGAUGGCAGCUAAUCUCGUAAAUAAAAGCUGCAACGUUAUAGUCGCAAACGACGAUAACUACGCACUGGCAGCGUAAGCUGCCGGUUGUCCUGACUCGGAUGCUUGUAACCGAGAAGUAACACCUCAGGACAUCAUAGCUAACAAGCUCGCCUCCGCUCAUCGUUCCAUGAAUCGGAGGUUAAAACCCAGGAACUCGCUUCAGGCACCCUGGCCUUCGGGUCGCCUGAAGUUAAAACAAUAGAAGGACACUAAGCAUGUAGAGCCAAAGGCAGAACACUGGCGGACGCGGGUUCAAUUCCCGCCGUCUCCACCA